rnacentral:rRNA from 1 species
CCUACGGGUGGCAGCAGUGAGGAAUAUUGGUCAAUGGACGCGAGUCUGAACCAGCCAAGCAGCGUGAAGGAAGACUGCUCUAUGGGUUGUAAACUUCUUUUAUACAGGAAUAAAACGAGGCACGUGUGCCUUUUUGCAUGUACUUUAUGAAUAAGGAUCGGCUAACUCCGUGCCAGCAGCCGCGGUAAUACGGAGGAUCCGAGCGUUAUCCGGAUUUAUUGGGUUUAAAGGGAGCGUAGAUGGGUUGUUAAGUUAGAUGUGAAAGUUUGCGGCUCAACCGUAAAAUUGCAUUUGAUACUGGCAGUCUUGAGUACAGUUGAGGUAGGCGGAAUUCAUGGUGUAGCGGUGAAAUGCUUAGAGAUCACAAAGAACCCCGAUUGCGAAGGCAGCUUACUAAGCUAUGACUGACGUUGAGGCUCGAAAGUGUGGGGAUCAAACAGGAUUAGAUACCCGUGUAGUC